UGCAAGUCGAACGAUUAAAGCUCUCUUCGGAGAGUGUAUAGAGUGGCGCACGGGUGAGUAACACGUAAGUAAUCUGCCUUCGAGUGGGGAAUAACGUUCGGAAACGAACGCUAAUACCGCAUAAUGCAGCGGCACCGCAAGGUGACAGUUGUUAAAGGAGCAAUCCGCUUGAAGAGGAGCUUGCGGCAGAUUAGCUAGUUGGUAAGGUAAUGGCUUACCAAGGCUACGAUCUGUAACCGGUCUUAGAGGACGGUCGGUCACACUGACACUGAAUAACGGGUCAGACUCCUACGGGAGGCAGCAGUCGGGAAUUUUGGGCAAUGGGCGAAAGCCUGACCCAGCAACGCCGCGUGAAGGAUGAAGUAUUUCGGUAUGUAAACUUCGAAAGAAUAGGAAGAAUAAAUGACGGUACUAUUUAUAAGGUCCGGCUAACUACGUGCCAGCAGCCGCGGUAAUACGUAGGGACCAAGCGUUGUUCGGAUUUACUGGGCGUAAAGGGCGCGUAGGCGGCUCUGUAAGUCACUUGUGAAAUCUCUGAGCUUAACUCAGAACGGCCAAGUGAUACUGCAGUGCUAGAGUGUAGAAGGGGCAAUCGGAAUUCUUGGUGUAGCGGUGAAAUGCGUAGAUAUCAAGAGGAACACCUGAGGUGAAGACGGGUUGCUGGUCUAACACUGACGCUGAGGCGCGAAAGCCAGGGGAGCAAACGGGAUUAGAUACCCCGGUAGUCCUGGCCCUAAACGAUGAAUACUUGGUGUCUGGAACUCUAAAGUUCUGGGUGCCGUCGCUAACGUUUUAAGUAUUCCGCCUGGGG
rnacentral:rRNA from 1 species